GGAUUGCUCAGUCGGUUAGAGCGUGGUGCUGAUAAUGCCAAGGUUCUGAGUUCGAUCCCCGUCUGAAACA